AUGAACGCUGGCGGCGUGCCUAAUACAUGCAAGUCGAACGCGAGCAGCAAUGCUCGAGUGGCGAACGGGUGAGUAAUACAUAAGUAACCUGCCCUAGACAGGGGGAUAACUGCUGGAAACGGCAGCUAAGACCGCAUAGGUAUGGACACUGCAUGGUGACCAUAUUAAAAGUGCCAAGGCACUGGUAGAGGAUGGACUUAUGGCGCAUUAGCUGGUUGGUGAGGUAACGGCUCACCAAGGCGACUAUGCGUAGCCGACCUGAGAGGGUGACCGGCCACACUGGGACUGAGACACGGCCCAGACUCCUACGGGAGGCAGCAGUAGGGAAUUUUCGGCAAUGGGGGGAACCCUGACCGAGCAACGCCGCGUGAAGGAAGAAGGAAUUCGUUCUGUAAACUUCUGUUAUAAAGGAAGAACGGCGGAUAUAGGGAAUGAUAUCCGAGUGACGGUACUUUAUGAGAAAGCCACGGCUAACUACGUGCCAGCAGCCGCGGUAAUACGUAGGUGGCGAGCGUUAUCCGGAAUUAUUGGGCGUAAAGAGGGAGCAGGCGGCGGCAGAGGUCUGUGGUGAAAGACUGAAGCUUAACUUCAGUAAGCCAUAGAAACCGGGCUGCUAGAGUGCAGGAGAGGAUCGUGGAAUUCCAUGUGUAGCGGUGAAAUGCGUAGAUAUAUGGAGGAACACCAGUGGCGAAGGCGACGGUCUGGCCUGUAACUGACGCUCAUUCCCGAAAGCGUGGGGAGCAAAUAGGAUUAGAUACCCUAGUAGUCCACGCCGUAAACGAUGAGUGCUAGGUGUUGGAUCCUUUCCGGGAUUCAGUGCCGAAGCUAACGCAUUAAGCACUCCGCCUGGGGAGUACGACCGCAAGGUUGAAACUCAAAGGAAUUGACGGGGGCCCGCACAAGCGGUGGAGCAUGUGGUUUAAUUCGAAGCAACGCGAAGAACCUUACCAGGUCUUGACAUCCGGAUAAAGACCUCAGAGAUGAGGGGAUAGAUAUAUCCGAGACAGGUGGUGCAUGGUUGUCGUCAGCUCGUGUCGUGAGAUGUUGGGUUAAGUCCCGCAACGAGCGCAACCCUUGUCGCUAGUUACCAUCAUUAAGUUGGGGACUCUAGCGAGACUGCCAGUGACAAGCUGGAGGAAGGCGGGGAUGACGUCAAAUCAUCAUGCCCCUUAUGACCUGGGCUACACACGUGCUACAAUGGAUGGAGCAGAGGGAAGCGAAGCCGCGAGGUGAAGCAAAACCCAUAAAACCAUUCUCAGUUCGGAUUGUAGUCUGCAACUCGACUACAUGAAGUUGGAAUCGCUAGUAAUCGCGAAUCAGCAUGUCGCGGUGAAUACGUUCUCGGGCCUUGUACACACCGCCCGUCACACCAUGAGAGUUGAUAACACCCGAAGCCGGUGGCCUAACCGCAAGGAGGGAGCUGUCUAAGGUGGGAUUGAUGAUUGGGGUG
rnacentral:rRNA from 1 species